AACCAACAACAACCUUUUUAUUUUUCAUUUUACUCCAUUUGAGAGUAAUUACUCCUUUUUCCAUUGGGCCUAACCAACCCGAUGGUUUUUUUU
rfam:Enterococcus dispar ATCC 51266 genomic scaffold acpMG-supercont1.1, whole genome shotgun sequence.